rnacentral:RNase_P_RNA from 1 species
CGGGCAGGCCAGACGAUCGCCCCUCGACUCCGCCGCAAGCGGUGUCGCUCGGGGAGGAAAGUCCGGACUCCAGAGAGCGGCGUGCUGGAUAAUAUCCAGUCAGAGUACAAUCUGAAGGAAAGUGGCACAGAAAUUACACAGCCCACCCUAUCCCCAAAGGAUAGGAGGCGAUAGGUGAAACUGGGAGGUAAGAGCUCCCACACGUCAGCCAGGCAACUGGCGGUGCGCUAAACCCCACGCGGAGCAAGACCAAAUAGGNNNNNNNNNNNNNNNNNAUCCCAGAUAGAUGAUCGUCGUUCUUCGAAGCUCUGGUUUAUCGGAGCGUAGAAGAAACAGAAUCCGGCUUAUCGGCCUGCCCCCACA